UACAGAGGGGGCAAGCGUUGUUCGGAAUUACUGGGCGUAAAGGGCGCGUAGGCGGCCUGUUAAGUCGAACGUGAAAUCCCCGGGCUCAACCCGGGAACUGCGUCCGAAACUGGCAGGCUUGAAUUCGGGAGAGGGAUGCGGAAUUCCAGGUGUAGCGGUGAAAUGCGUAGAUAUCUGGAGGAACAUCGGUGGCGAAGGCGGCAUCCUGGACCGAUAUUGACGCUGAGGCGCGAAAGCCAGGGGAGCAAACGGG
rnacentral:rRNA from 1 species